GGCUCAGAACGAACGCUGGCGUCACGCCUAACACAUGCAAGUCGAGCGCCCAGCAAUGGGAGCGGCGGACGGGUGAGGAACACGUGGGAACAUGCCUUUUGGUUCGGCACAACUGAGGGAAACUUCAGCUAAUUCCGGAUACGCCCUUACGGGGAAAGAUUUAUCGCCGAAAGAUUGGCCCGCGUCUGAUUAGCUAGUUGGUGGGGUAACGGCCCACCAAGGCUUCGAUCAGUAGCUGGUUUGAGAGAACGACCAGCCACACUGGGACUGAGACACGGCCCAGACUCCUACGGGAGGCAGCAGUGGG
rnacentral:rRNA from 1 species